UCGUGCGUCGUGGGGAGCAGUUGCAGAGGGGUCGCCCCAUGCGUGUGCCCCCAACUUCUGCAAUAGUCUUUGGUCUUCCGCGAUGAUGGGUGGGUUGACGCUGCUCGUGGUCCCGUCCGUCGGCUGCACUGGAUGCGGGUCUCGUCGGGGUCGCCGCGCCGUCGUUUGCAUUCGCGUCUGGUGUUGGAGAGAGGGGAGAUCCAAGAGUUGUGCGGCUGACUCCUGCGUCGUGCUCUGCCUGACCCCUGCGCCAUGCGUCAAUCAGAUCCACCGCCUCCCGAGAUCCUUAUCCACCCCAGCUCACGAGGAAGCUGCGGGAGGAGGAGCUCAGUCGGGCAUUAGCCGGCGGGAGAAGGAGGAGAGGCGUGGAUGCUAGCCAGGGAGGUGGAUCGACUCGCCUCUGCUCCGCCGUGAGUGCCGCCGCAGCCUCUGCAGCCACCUUGCUCCGCAUAGCAGCAUGUGUGCGGAAGCGCGGACAGGCGACCACGAGCAGAUCGUGUCGGCGGCAACGGCAACACGCAUGGUGCGCGAAGUCCGGUAAGAUGGGCGCGGCCCGCCCGCAGACAUUUCAGGAUGGCGUGCCCGACAGCUCGGAACGCGCGCGCCCGGCGCACAGGAGGUAUGACUCGGAGCAUGCCGGCGGCAACUUGCACCGCGAGGUCCCGAAGCAGCCCAGCCAGUACAGAGCUCCUCCAUACUGGAUGAACCCUGCGACUCCAUCCUCGCCUCCACUCACAGGUCUAUGCUGAUUUCACAAUAACACCGCCUCCAACUUUCUCAUUUCCCCAACUCUGCAUACAAGGUCCAAACUAGGUAUGCCAAUCGCUUGUUCAGUCGCUUUCUGGUUUAUGCCCUUUCACCUGCAUAUAGUGAGGCAGUGUGUGGAAUUUAGGUGCUGGUUUGAACAAAUUACAAUGAUGUAGUGGUGAGGAUCAGUACAGCCACCGGCUUUAUAUUGUGGUCAGCUUGUUUGUCUGCUUGCUCAUGCAUUCUAGUACAUGAUGUCCUGAUGAUUUGUGAAGUUCUGUGUAUCACGUGAUAAGCUGCAGAUUAGGUAGCAUGGCAGCUUGUUUGUUGCUUUUAGGAUGUACUGAUGUACAUGUACCCAGGUGGAUCAAAUACUGAUACCAAUCAUAUAUUUUUCUUUACUCAUGUGUUUUUCAUGUGUCUGCCUAGCAUUUCGACAAAUUGAUUAUCUCAUUCAGAUGUAUUCAUGCCAGGUUUCUGUGAUCAAAAAAAAUCAUGUGGCACAGGCUUUCUUAUUACAUACAAAACUAAAUGUUGAGAAGUAUAUAGGUUCAUUAUUUGGUAACUGAACUGAAUUGCCUUGGUAUAAAACUCCCAUUAGCUUUUGUCGGAGGUGCUGUAAUGAUUUGACGGAAAGGCUUUUAUAUUUCCAAGUUGAUAAACUACACAACUUCUGAUCCUAAAGCCUUUCUUUAAAAGGGACUGGUCAAUACAGCUCCAUGUUGUGCUAUCUGAGCUCUUUUUCUUUUCUUAAAAUGGUAGGAUAUCUCUCAUGUUUUUUAUUCGUAGUUGAUUGCUUAUAUCCAAAAUAUUUAUGUUAGUACACUGAAGUUAAUUUCUAUUCCCUUCGUCCCAAAAUAAGUGUCUCAAGCUUAGUAUAACUUUGUACUAAAGUUAGUACAAAGUUGAGACACUUAUUUUAAGACGGAGGGAGUACAUUAUUAGUGAAGUUAGCUAAAUAGUUUUUGUGCUACUGAGAUAUAUAUGUGCACUACAUUUUAACCCUCUAAAUUGUUGUGCAAUUGAGUUUAAUCCGGAAUAUAAUUAUGUUAGUACACUAUGCAAUAUAAUUAUAUUAUAUUCUGCUUUUGUCAGAUUUCUGGUUUGCUCCAGCUUGUUUUUACAUCUAGUCAUAAUUACACCUCUCCACCGACUGCCACCUUUCAUGGAGGAGGGAGAUGGCUUUGCCAGGCCGUCAACACCCAUCGGCAACUUCCGGCAGGCGCUGUCCCGUUCUUCUUCCCCUUACUCCGAUGCCUUCAUGGCCAAAAUCAUUAGCAGCAAGAAGGUUAAGCACCAACUAUGGUUAAAAGCUUUGUCUCUUUUGUUUACUAUCCAUGAUGAUCUGAUUUUGCUGGUAAGGUUAGAAAUUCAAGUAAUACGACUAUUGUGAUGCAUCUUCCUACGUGUGUAUAUUUAUUUGCAUUGUUAAUAUUUUCCUCCAAAUCAUUUGUUGGUCAUAAAUUAUUUUGCAUUAUUGAUGAUUAAUUUGCAAUUGAAAUGACAACAGGGCUAGGUUUUAUAAGUGUAAUGGGUUCAAGUGUGACCUUCCAGUCAAGAAAUGUCCUCAGCAAGAAGCUUAUAUGAAGAUCCCUUUUCUACUUUGAAUGAAUUUACAUGCUACUCUCUUGUAUGGAUAAAAAUAAUAAUUUAAAUGUUUUGUUUCUUUGCCA